rnacentral:rRNA from 1 species
AGUGAACGCUGGCGGUAGGCCUAACACAUGCAAGUCGAACGGCAGCACAGUAAGAGCUUGCUCUUACGGGUGGCGAGUGGCGGACGGGUGAGGAAUACAUCGGAAUCUACUUUUUCGUGGGGAAUAACGUAGGGAAACUUGCGCUAAUACCGCAUACGACCUACGGGUGAAAGCAGGGGAUCUUCGGACCUUGCGCGAUUGAAUGAGCCGAUGUCGGAUUAGCUAGUUGGCGGGGUAAAGGCCCACCAAGGCGACGAUCCGUAGCUGGUCUGAGAGGAUGAUCAGCCACACUGGAACUGAGACACGGUCCAGACUCCUACGGGAGGCAGCAGUGGGGAAUAUUGGACAAUGGGCGCAAGCCUGAUCCAGCCAUACCGCGUGGGUGAAGAAGGCCUUCGGGUUGUAAAGCCCUUUUGUUGGGAAAGAAAAGCAGCAGGUUAAUACCCCGCUGUUCUGACGGUACCCAAAGAAUAAGCACCGGCUAACUUCGUG